GACGAACGCUGGCGGCGUGCUUAACACAUGCAAGUCGAACGGAAAGGCCCUGCUUUUGUGGGGUGCUCGAGUGGCGAACGGGUGAGUAACACGUGAGUAACCUGCCCUUGACUUUGGGAUAACUUCAGGAAACUGGGGCUAAUACCGGAUAUGAUCUCCUGCUGCAUGGUGGGGGUUGGAAAGUUUCGGCGGUUGGGGAUGGACUCGCGGCUUAUCAGCUUGUUGGUGGGGUAGUGGCUUACCAAGGCUUUGACGGGUAGCCGGCCUGAGAGGGUGACCGGCCACAUUGGGACUGAGAUACGGACCAGACUCCUACGGGAGGCAGCAGUGGGGAAUAUUGCACAAUGGGCGGAAGCCUGAUGCAGCAACGCCGCGUGCGGGAUGACGGCCUUCGGGUUGUAAACCGCUUUCGCCUGUGACGAAGCGUGAGUGACGGUAAUGGGUAAAGAAGCAACGGCUAACUACGUG
rnacentral:rRNA from 1 species